GAAUUUGAACAUUACAAUUAAAACUCUAAUUGUUGACAAAGGUGUCACAUUGCAAUUCAUAUUUUGCAAUGUAGAUGGCUAAAAUAGCUCAACAGGCACUGCAACAUCUGUUGGAUAACAAUAACAUCAUACAUUAGUUUCCUUAUUAACCUUUCUUUCUAUAAUGUUAUGGCAGGCGGAAGUUGACAAAGAUGGGCGCCUCAAUUUGACUGAGAUGAUUGAGAAUGCAUAUAUAUUCUAUGAUGUUAUUUUCUACGAUGAUGAAGUUGAAUAUGACGAUUCCCCUGACGAGUUCUUUUAAGUUUAUGUUAGGUAAGCACAGUUAUUUUGUUGUCUAUUUAAACCUACAUUCAGUGAUGAUUUUUCGAUGUAAUAUUUUGUGAUCAUCAAUUGCAGGAUGCACAUAAAAGUUUGGGGCAAUAUCACAGACAAAGAGUCAAUAUUUGAAGAACAUAAACAGAGUUAUAAAUUUACAUAGCAAGUUAAAUACAAAAUAUUAAAAUUAUACAGAUGAGCAGAAAAAAAAUCGGCUACGGUUUCUGUUUUUGUUUAAUAGAAGGUAAAUUUUAGGUUGUGUUUGAAAAAUUGUAGAUAAGAUAUCUAGAAUUUUUCAAAUGCAACCUAGACCUCAUCUUUUAGUAGAAAGAUAGUUCCGACUGCUAUAUAAGACUCUUGAAUGAUGUACACGGUGACCUUGCCACGUUGAUAUCUGAUUUGUGAAUUGUAAUAAUUUUACUUUUUAUAUAUCAUCACAGUUAUAGUUGAAAUGAAUUAAUUUUGCUUUAUAUAUAAUCACAGUUGCACGAGAUGCAGGUUACAUAUCUUUAAAUGAAUAUAUAACUCACCCGAAGUAAUUUUUCAAAAUUGGAAGAAAAUAGAAUAAUGGGACUGUGGGAGAGAAAAAAAGUCAGCCUUUUCUAAUUUUAAGAAUUAAUUUCAGUUUUUAGCUCACUAUAUUCUUAGAUAUAUUUUCUCUAUUUUUAAUUAUAAAAUUCAUUUUCCAUUAUUUUUUGUUUAAUAUAAAUAAAAAUUAAUUAAAAAAUAAUAUUUUAUCUUUAAUUUUCAAUCAAAUAAUAAAUUUUUUAAACUUGUUUUUACUAAUAUAUUUUGAAAUGAAAUAAUAGACAUUAACAAAUUUUAUAAAAAAAUAUCCACGAUCCAUUUAUCAGUAAAAAAUAUAAACAUCUGUUUCUGUUAUGUAAAAGUAAUAUUUUUUUUUUGACAAAGUUUUACUACAACUAUUUGUUUUAAUAUUAUAAAAUAUAUUGAAGAGUGUUAUAAUAAAUAAUAGAUAAAGUACAUACUUAGAUUCACCAAUUCAAAUAGAAGAUAUUCACUUUAAACCUUGAACUGCUUAAGCUAGUAGGUCUUUGAGUCCAGAAAUGUAGUAGACCACAGAGUUAACUUUUUAUUGACGAAUGAAUCAUACCACUAAAAAGGGUUAUGUUCAAUGUAUUUGACGACACCGACCUCCUAAAAUGCCAUGCUUUCCAAAUUAUUUUUUUUAAUUACUCUCUCCUUUAAAAUAUAAAUAAAAAAAAGUGAAUGUAUUUAGUUAAUUUUAUAUUUUGGGUUGAUAUAAGAUAUUUCCUUUUUAUUUAUAUUUUGAAUGAUUUAAGACUAAACACUUUCACAUUUUUAAUUAUAUUUUAAGCCAAAAAUAUUAAUGUUUAAUAACAAUUUAAUUUCUCUAAUAAGACAACACAAAACAUUACUAAAUAGACCACUUCAAUAACUUUAUAUUAUUAUAUUUUAAUAAUAUUUAUUUAUUUUAAUAUUUUUAUGAUUUAUUGUAUGAAAUUCAAGUAAAGUAAAAAAGAAGAUUGUACUUCUAUUGUCAGAAAAUGUAAAAUUAUUAUCCACAACAGAUGUGCAUAUUUAACUUUUGCUAAAUAGGUGAAUCACAUGCAAUUGUGAUUGUCUUUGGUUCGGUUGUGAAGACCGGUAGUACAAUUGUUUGACUAAUAUCAAGCGACCAUGUCAAUUGUUUGACAAAUAUCAAAAGGACAUGGAAAGUGUGACAGCUCUUUAGCACUAUUGGUUCUGUAUUCAAUUAGAAGAAGAAGAAAAACAAUAAUUAUACAUUUUAAAAAAAUAUUGAUUAAUUGUAUUUAAUUUUGUUAUGUUGUAAAAAAUUAAAUUUUUUAUACUAUCAAUACUUUUCAUUUAAUUUUGUAUCAGAAAUUGUUAUAUUAAAAAAUAUUUCAAUAAAUAGUUGUUGGUAAAAUUAACCUAGUGUAAAACUAACCUUAAGACUGUCAAUUGUCGGUUUCUUAAUUUUUUUUAAUAAUAUUUAUUAAUUCAGCGCAAUCUAUUUUUUAUUUUAUUUUAAACAUAAUUAAUAUUUUUUAUUUAUAAUAUUAUGUUUUAGUAUAUUAUUAUACAUCAUAUAUGCUUAUGUUUUUUUAUACUAUAAUAUGUUAUUUAACAUAAUAUAAAUUUAUAAUUAUAUAUUUAAUAAAAUUGGAUGAAAAAAACUUCAAUCCAAAUAACAUUAUUUAGAUCGGAGAAUAUCUUUUAGAAGAAAUCAUCCAAACUAAACUAAAUUCACUUGUUAUUUUCAAUCUGGUCAAGUGGUUUUUUUUACAUCAAAACUGAUUAAAAAAAUUGUACUACAGGCUCUUACGUUAAGGUGUGGUUAGAUUUUUAUCAAUUAACUAAUUUUUUACCGACGUACAAUUAGUUUUUUGACCGGACUAGCGUAUAAAACAUUAAAAUAAGGUAAAUAUAUAACAUAAUCACAAAAAUUAGUAUUCACAAAUAAUAAAUAUUUAAAACUAAUUGUAACACCGCUAGAACUUAUCACUUUGAUGCACUCCAUCUCGGUUAUAGCAAUCCCUGUUCCGUCUAUUAUAUUUUUAUACUAUGGAUAGUGAUAGAUUUUGAAGUAAAAUAUUGUAAAGUUUAAAUUUUAAAAAUUUAAAUAGAUAAUUUAAUGAAAAUCUACAUAUAUAAAUAUAUCAAUUUAUAUGAUGUAAUUCACCCGAUGUAUGUCAUCUGGUUAGAUUAAUACAUAUAAUAAAAAAAGAUGCACAUAUAACAUGUCACCUUAUACAUUAGAUUCAAAUAUACAUCUCAAUAACAAUAAAUCAACAAUCACAAUUCAACUUAUAAAAUACACCGAUUAUAGAAUUUACAAUUAUAACAACAUGCACUACAAUAUUUAUAUUAAUUAAGAUAUCUAUUAACAUAUGUAUGUCUAGUCAUAAUUUAUCACAAUUCGAUUAACAUGUAUCAAACCACACAAAUCACAAUUAUCUUAUAGACUUAUAUAAUUUGAUUUUUACAAUCAUAUCACAUUUAAUAGUUAUUUUAUUUUUAAUAUAAAUAUUUUUUUAUAUAAAUAUUUUUUCUUGUAAAAAAUAUUACAUGUCAAAUCACUAACUAUCAUAUUAUAUUCAUCCACGUAGAGUAAUUUGAAAUUGAAAUAGUAAAUUAAUUAAUGGAAGGAGAAAAAACAUUUCACUAUCACUUUCUUUAAUUUUUCAAACACAUAUUCUCUCAUUUCUCUCCAAACUCACACAUUCUUCUUUAUUUUUGAGCAACUUAGAAGCCUCUAAACACAAAACUGUCAACUACAAAGUUAUUUCACUAUUAGAGAUGAUUGCAAAUAAAUAAAGAUCAUUAGUUGAGGUAGUCAUUUCUCCCCUCUUUUCUCUCAAACCUGUAAGCAUGCAUAUAUAUAGGGGGAAAAUUAAUGUUUAUUUUAUAUGUUUUAAGCUUUAAUCUUGUUUGGUUAUCACUACUAUGGUUGUUAUUAAUGUUUAGAAAAUUAAGGGAACCAUUUUCAUAUGUAAGCAUGCAUAUAUAGGGGGAAAAUUUAUUUUUUAUUUUAUAUGUUUUUAGCUUUAAUCUUGCUUGUAUAUCACGACUAUGGUUGCUAUUAAUGUUUAGAAAAUUAAAAGAAACAUUUUUAACUUUUUUUUCUUCUAAAAAUAAAAAACCUAAGUAAGAGAGUAAAAUGAAAAGUUUUUAUUUAUUUAUUUAUUUUAUUUUAUUUUAUUUUAUUUUAUUUUUUUUACUUUUGUGCUUUGUUAAUAUUGAAAUUAGAGGAAUUAGUAACUUGAAUAACCUAGAGUGAAACCAAACCCCCAAAAAAUUUACUAAGACCAAAUUUAGUGUGUCAUAAUAUUAAAGCUUAAUUUUAGUAUGUGUUUGAGUAAUAUAAUAGAUUUUUUUCAAAUAAAUGAGUUUGAACUUACAAUAGAAAUUUUAUUAGAGUCGUUUAAGUCAAUAAAGUUAAGAAGACUUUUGUAAAUAUGUUUGGUUAUAAUAUUUAUUUAUUAAAAUGACAACUAGAUAUUAAGGUGUGUGGGAAUCAAAGUGAUGUAUCAUUUAAAAAAAACUCAAACUUGUAAAAUGAGGAUUUUAAAGUAAGAGAAAGAUUGAUAGAAAGAAAUUGAUUAGUUUUAUUGAGUAAUGCAACCUUGAAGUAAAAUUUAUAAUUCUCUAUGUUUAUAUGCAGUUAGCUCAUUGAAUCUCGAAAAUGAAUCGAGAUUGUUGACACUGAAAUUGCGGUGGCAAGAACUUUGAAUAUUUUAUGUUUGUUGUGUUAAUUUUUUUAAAGAAACUAGUAAAAUAUUUGUGCAUUCGCACGGGUGGCGCAUGUUUAUAUUCAUUUUAAGAUUGUUAUUCAUUGUCAAUGUAAUAUUUGAACUUUAGGAAAAUAUACUCAUUUAGCAUUAUAAUAAAUAUGCAUAAUUACUCAUGCGGUCCCUUAAAUUAAUUUCAGAUAACAAUUUAGUAUUUUAUUCUUUUUUCUUUCUGAUUUGGUUAUUUAUUUAAUUUUAAGUAAACAAUUUAAUCUUUUAUGUUUUAAAAUGUUAACAAUGUUAUCCCUUUUUACAAAAAUUUGAUCAAAAUUUUCAAACAAAACUCAUAAAAUUAAUUAUCAUCUUCAAUAUAAUACAAAUUUUAUCAAAUUUAUAACUCAAAUUUUUAAAUAAACUCAUAUUUUCAUUUUUUAUAUUUUUGAAUUUUUUGUAAUAAAAUUAAAUAAAUGACCAAAUCAGAAGGGAAAAAAAAGGACUGAAAUGUAAGUUAAGAGAUUGCAUGAUCAAUUGUGUCUAAUAAAUAUUAUUGAAAAUCGCAAAUAGUAUUCUUCUUGUGAUUUUUAUAUGUAUUAGUGGAAACUAUUUGUAUCUUGUUUUUUUAAUAUUUAUUCAUAACAAAUAUUUGUUUCCUAUAUUUUUAAUAUUUAUAAGCGACAAAUAUUUGUUAUGUGUUUUUUUUUAUGUAUCAUUGAACAAAUAUUUGUCUUGUGAUUUUUUAAAUUUAUCAUUAUUGAACAUUAUUCAUGUAUUUUUUUUUUUUUUGCAUUAGUUAUAGUUAUUUAUGGAUUAUGCUUUUUAAUAAUUAUCAAUGACAAAUAUUUAUUCCAUGUGUUUUAUGUUUGAAUGUCAAAUAUUUGUCUAUAUUUUUUUUAAAUUAUUAGUAACAAAUAUAUGUAUAUUUUUUUUUUAAUAUUUAUUAGUUACAAAUAUUUCUCAUGUGUUUUUUAUGCGUCAAUAAAAAAUAUUUAUUUCAUGUUUUUUAUGUAUCGAUGAAAAUAUUUAUCUUAUAUUUUUAUAUAUUUUGUAACAAAUAUAUGUCUUGUAUUUUUAUAUAAACUACUUUUUUAUUCUUUAUUAUUAUUAUUAUUGCUUUUUUUAUUUUUCCAUUAAUUGAAAUUAUAACACGUGUCAUGUAUUUUUUAUUCUCGAGUUAUAGAUAUUUAUUUAUUAUUUUUUAAUAGUUAUCAAUGACAAAUAUUUAUCUCGUAUUUUUUAUUUUUAAUGUCAAAUAUUUGUUUAUAUUUUUUUAAAAUUAUUAGAGACAAAUAUAUAUAUAUAUAUAUAUAUACCUUUUUUUUUAUUAGUUACUAAUAUUGUUUCUCCUACAUUUUCUAUGUGUCAAUGGCAAAUAUUUGUCUUGUGUUUUUUAUGCAUCAAUAAUAUAUAUAUCUCUUUCAUAUUUUUUAUACAUUGAUAACAUAUAUACAUAUCGUAUGUUUUUAUAAACUACUUUUUCUAUUUUUUGUCAUCUAUUUUAAAAUAUUUUUUUAAUAAAUUAGUAUUUCAUUUAUGUGAGAAAGAGAAAGUUAUUUAAUAAAGUUAGAGUUUGAUUAUUUUAAUUAAGAAUUACGACUACUAUUUUAAUAUUGAAAAAUGUUAUGUUGUUUCUUUCAGAAAAAUUAAGUGUUAUUGUUGGUGAAGUUAUGGAGGUAGGAAGAAAUUGUGACUUGUAGUUGUCACAGUUUUUUAUUUUUUUUUGCUGAGUGUUUUGUUUUUUUAGUGUUUUCACUGCAUUUUGACAGUUUUGUUUUUAUUUUUGUUUUUGUUUUUAAUAUAGUGUUUCUACUUCAUUUGUGUUUUAAGUAAAUUUUAUAAUUUUUUGUACUUAUGUAGUUAGUAUCUUUAGUCUAAAAAAUAAAUUGAGAUUGUUGAUACUGAAUUUUUUAGAAAAAGAUAGAAACAAAAAGAUCAUGAUAAAUUUUUUUAAAUAAGUUUUGAAAUAAAGUGGUAAAUGAAUUGACGUGGUUUGUUUUAACUCAAAAGUAUUUGAGUUGUAGAAAUUUUAUGAACUUUAAAGAAGUUAGAAAAAAAUACUAUUAUGAUUUUUAAUGGUGGUAUAAAUUAAAAUUUUCACUCGUUUUAAAUAUAAAACCAUAUUAGUUGUUGUUCUUCAUCAUUUAAGGUGUUUUAAACUAGAUUUGGAUUUUGAAUCUCUUUUGAAAGACUUUGAUGAAUAAAAUGAGUUUUAGUCGAGUUGUAUAUAUAUAGAAAGAGAAUUCAAAGUUUUGUUUUGAUAUUGGUUUUAAGUUGAUUUUGUGAUUGGGUGUUAAAAGUUUCAUCUAUGGGAUUUUUGGGAAAAUAAGCUUUCCGUAUUUAUAGUUAAAAUCAAAAGUUGUAGUCUUUAAUGCUAAACUCAAUUUCUACGAAGAGAUUUAACUUUAAAAAACAAAGUUUCAAACUUUAUAACUUUGAGAAUAGUUCAUAUUUUUUAUAAAAAAAAAAUAAGGGUUCAAGCUUUGUAUAUAAAAAAGGUUUGAAGAACACAUAUUCACUCUAUGAACGAAGUUUUAAUGUUAAGUUUUGAAGUUGAAUUUUUUUUUAUUUUUAUAGUAAAGAUGUCAACUUUAUGCGCAAAUUUGAGGUUGAAAAAACAUUUAGGUGUUUUGAAAAACAAUGAUUGAUUAUGAUUUUGGAUUUUGAUAUGUGACUUUAUUACUAGGAAUGAAUAUUUUAGUUGCAGACUUCAAAAAAAUUGUGAAUUUCGGAAAUAUUUGGUGUUGAUGAGAAUAGUUAGUAUAUUGAAACUCUUAGUAUUUGAGUUUCAAUAUUUGGUGUGUGAUUUAGAAUAGUUAGUAUAUUGAAACUCUUAGUAUUUGAGUUUUUUUUAUAUAAGAUUUCAUGGUACAAGCCUUCUACUAGUUUUUCAAAUAUUAAAAAUGUUGAAUUUUGUGAUGUUCAUUGAUGGUUUAAUCGAAAUUUCAAACCAUGUGAGUAUGUUUAUCUUUGAUUUUGUUAAGAAACUAUUUUGUCAUAAGUUGUUAAAGACAAAGAUUGGAGUUGAAUUUCAAUAAGUUUGAAAAAACAAUUUCGAGAUUUUCAAAGAGUGACAAGUAUUUUGAAAUUCGUUUUUGUCAAAGUAUUUAAACCAAAGUCUUUUUGAAGUUAGGGAACCUAAAGAAAGUCAAACCCUAAUUGAUUUGGAAAAUGGUUCCUUGGGUUUAUUUGGGUGUUGUUUUAGAAACUUGUAUUAAUUAAGUUAAUUGAUUGAUUUAAGGUACAAAGAAAUUGAGAGCUGACAUUGGAAUUGUCAUAUAGGUUAUGUUGGCGUAACAUAAGUUGAGAGCUAACGAUAUUAAAUAUGCUUGAAUAUAGAGUGUGUUUGUACGCAUCUUCUUUGUGUUAGUGGUGAAUAAAUGUGCACACGAUUGUUUAUUUAUUUGAUAUGAUUAUGUAUUCAUAACUAUUAACAUAUGUGUUAUAAAUUUUAUUGAUGAGAAUAUGUCUUGAGCAUGCUAUGUGAAUAAGUAUUAAAAAUUAUUAGUGUUUCCUGAGUAUUAAAAGGGGAGUCUUUUAAUAGUUGCAUGUAACUCAUGAGCUUCCCUGAUCAUGUUUUUGAUUUAAUUCCCAAACAUACAAUACAUAUGAAGUACUUGAUUGAUCUAAUGAUUUGAAUUUAGAAACAUUUCAGGCAAACAAGCAGACACUAUACACUUGGAACAAAAGCUUGGAACUCAAGGAAUCAACCAAAAUUGGAGAAUGUGCUUGAGAAAGAUGCAAAUAUGUAUAGUGUGAUUAGUUGUCAUAGUAGUUAUUUUAGUAGACUAAUCACUAUGGUUUCAUACUUAAGUUUUUGCCAAAGAAAGUAAAUCAAUCAACUGAUAAGUCAAUUGAUUAAUCAAUUGGGCAAUCGAUUGUCUGACUCAGAACAAAAGUUUUUACUAAGUAAAUCAAUUGGGAAAUCGAUUACUUAAAGGCUUUCAGUGAGAUCUGAGUUAUGGGCUUAAUCCAAUCAAUUGGACAAUCGAUUGGGACAUCAAUUGAGUAAUCGAUUUUGUGAUUCACAAAACCAACCACUUACUGAAUCAAUCGAUUGACAAAUCGACUGUGAAAAUGUUUUUCAUCAGGAAUGAGUUCUGUGAUCAACCAAAUUGAUUGGACAAUCAAUUGAAUUAUGUUUCUUAAACUGCCAGUUUUGUGGCAAUCGAUUAGAUAAUCGAUUAAAGUGAAUCAUUUAUCAGAAACACAUUGAAUAAUCGAUUGGCACAUUGAUUUUGACCAAAUGGUUGAGGUUCUGUAACAAGCACAAUCGAUUGGCAAAUCGAUUGAAGUAAAUGUCUGAGUCACUGUGACCAGCACAAUCGGUUGACGAAUCGAUUGAAGCUAAAUGUUUGAGUUACAUGAAGAAUUCAGCUCAUUGCCAAAUCGAUUAUGACUAUGAAUAUGCGUCGACUGAGCAAUCGAUUGUUUUGAUCUCGUUGUUUGAACAAAACACCUAUAAUCGAUUACUCAAUCGAUUCUGAUAUAAUCAUAGUAUCAGUUUCUGAUUUAUGUAUUAAAAGAGUCGAUUGGCAAAUCGAUUCAUGCUUAUAUUUUCAAGAUUCAAGAAAAACAAGACACGCGAAAAUCGAUUGGGCAAUCGAUUAAGCUGGUUUUAAACUUUUAUAAAAUCGAUUGAGCAAUCGGUUGUCUUGAUGUUUUUCUGAAUAUAUAUAAGCUGAUUCAAUCAACUUAUAAAAUAACCAAUACACUACACUUGAAACAAUUAUUCAUUACACGUUUUCAUAAUAAAGAAACCAGGAAAAACACUUUGAAAGAAAUAAUUGUUACCACACACAAAAUACUCAUUUGGCAAAUUCUUUUGUGUGAAAUUCAUAUUGUGAUUGAGUCAUCAUCAUUUUGUCCGCUUUUAUCUUUUCUGUAAAAACAAUCUGUAAAGAAAGUUCUGGAAAUCCAGUAGUGUAAACUGGUGACUAUCUUUGUUGGUGCGUGUGUUCAUCAAGAAGAAGUCUCAUCUUGAUCUCGUGAGGGUUUGGCGAGUAACUCUAGAGAUAAGGUGGCAUUGUAAUAGAAGCGAGUGAGUUGGAUAGAUAGGCCAUGUGUGAGCUGGACAAUCUGUAAAACGUACUCAAGUCAAUUCUAUUGGAAAGGCUGAAAUCUGGUUUAGAUUUCAGGACUGGAUGUAGGCUAUCAAACGGAUAGCCGAACCAGUAUAAAUCCUGGUGCAUGAUUUUCUUAUCCUUUCUCUUUAUUUUGAUAUUGCUUGAAUGCUUAUUCUUGAAUGUUUGUAUCAGCGAAUUUCUGUCUUGAUUAAUAUUUUGAAUAAGCAUUGUAUCUGUACUCAUAUAUUGAUAAUACUUGUAAUUGUGAAUCUUUGUUCCUAAAUAAAUUCCGCAACCGAUCAUUGUUAAUCUGAUUAAUAAUCUUGUAAAAAUAGUAGAGACUAUUCUCAUAUAUUUUUUAACAAAUAGAGGCCAUAAUUUCCUACAAUUGGCAUCAAGAGCCUGAUCUUUUUUAGACUACUAUCAUAAAAGAAAACGACCUCUGUAGAAUUUCUGGGAGAAGGUGCAUCCUUGGCUAGGCUCCUGCAUUUAAUAGAGCUGCCUACAUGUAUUGGAAAGAGAGGAUGUUAAUUAUUCUUGAAGCAUGUAGUCUUGAUAUUCUAGAAGCAGUAAUAGAUGGUCCCUAUGUGCCAACCAUAACUGGCACAGGUGAUUCAUCAAUCCCAAAGCCCAGAUCAGAUUGGUCUGAGGAUGACAAAAAAAAGGUUGGAUAUAAUGCUAAGGCUAAAAACAUUAUUACCUCUGCUUUAAGCGCUGACGAAUUUUUUAGGGUGUCUAACUGCAAAACUGCCAAGGAGAUGUGGGACACAUUACAACAAACGCAUGAAGGAACAACAGAUGUAAAAAGGGCCCGAAUCAACACUCUAAUCCAUGAGUAUGAGCUGUUCAACAUGAAGAAAGAGGAAUCUGUUAAUGAUAUGCAGACAAGAUUUACUCACAUAGUCAAUAAUCUAAAUGCUCUUGGUAAGGUGAUUGACAAUGAGCAACAAAUCAGCAAGGUGAUGAGAUGCUUGACUAGAGAGUGGCAGCCAAAAAUCACUGCCAUAGCAGAAUCAAAAGACCUUGGUAGCAUGUCAAUUGCCACACUAUUUGGAAAAUUAAGAGAGCAUGAGAUGGAACUGCAUAGACUGAGUGAGGCUGAACAGACUGACAGAAAAAGAAAAGGGUUGUCUCUUAAAGCCCAAGCACAUCAAACAAAGUCUGAACAAGAGAUCUGCACUGACGAUUCAAAUAGUGAGACUGAUGAAGAUUCAGAACUUGGAUUACUUUUCAAAAAAUUCAAAAAGUUUCUGAAAAAGAAGGAUAGCAAAUCAAGAAAACCCUCAAGUUCAAAGACACAUGACAACAAGAUAACCUGCUUUGAGUGUGGGAAGACAUGACAUAUAAAAUUUGAGUGCUUCCAAUUGCAAAACAUAAAUAAGACUUCAAAGGCUAAAGGCAAUCAACAACCUCCUAAGACCAGAAAAGCCUACAUAGCCUGGAACGAUAAUGAUGAAGAGUCAUCUGCAUCUUCAGAAGAAGAAGCUAAUCUUUGUCUAAUGGCCAACACAGAUUCAGAUUCCGAUAAUGAGGUAAGUUCUAAAUCCAAUCCUUCUUAUGAUGAAUUACAUGACGCAUUUAAUGAACUACAUGAUGAAUAUGUUAAUGUAAUCAAACAGUUAAUGAGCACUAAGAAACUGUUAGAAGAAAAGUGCAUGUUGUAUGAAGAGAUUAAGCUGAAACAUGAGUCUCUUAAAGACACAAAUGAAAAUCUGAAAAAGGAAACUUAUGCACUGAAAUGUGAUUUAGAAAAGUUCAAUAGUGGUAAAAACAAUUUAGAUAUGCUUCUUGGAAACCAAAGAAAUCUAAAUGAAAAAUCUGGACUUGGCUAUAGACAAAACAAGAAUGUUAAAAAGAAUCAGAAGUUUGUUCGAUCUAAGCAUAUGCAUGAUAUCUUCACUAAACCCAAUCAGAAUCCAUCCUCUGCUGUUUCAUGUCACUUUUGCUGUAAAAAUGGUCAUAUGUUUUUUAAUUGUAAACUGAAAAAACUGGCCAACAGAGGAUGGAAACAGAUUUGGAAAGUAAAGACACCAUUGUUUGAAACUAAUCCUCCAGGACCCAAUCUGAAUUGGGUACCUAAAACCAAAAUUUAAAUUACAUUUUGCAGAUAUGCUUGACAUCCAGGACUCAUUCAUGGUACCUAGACAGUGGAUGUUCCAAGCAUAUGACUGGAGACAAGUCAAAGUUCUUGUCUCUGAACUUAAAAGAUGGUGGAUUUGUUAAAUACGGUGACAAUAACAAAGGUAAGAUACUCGGUAUUGGAGACAUAGGGAACGAAUCGACUACGGUGAUUAAAGACGUUUUUUAUGUAAAGGAUUUAAAGCACAAUUUAAUUAGUAGAAGUCAACUCUGUGAUAAGGGAUUCCAGGUAUGCUUUACAUCUCAGUAUUGUAUAAUUGAGCACAAGGAGAAUAAAGACAUAAGGUUAGUAGGUGACAGAAUCAAUAACAUAUACAUGCUUGAUUUUAAUGCUUUGUCUACUAGUACUAUUUGCUGCUUAUUAUCCAAUUAUGAUGAAAACUGGUUAUGGCAUAAGAGACUGGCUCAUAUACAUAUGGACCGCAUGAACAAACUAGUUAGUAAACAGUUAGUUCUAGAACUCCCAAAUAAAAAGUUCACUAAGGAUAAGUUGUGUGAUUCCUGUGAAAAGAGUAAGCUAGUUAAGUCAUCCUUUCCCCCAAUAGAUUUAGUACAAACCAAUAGGGUUUUACAAUUGAUACAUAUGGACCUGUUUGGUCCAUCUCAAGUUAGAAGCUUUGGAGGAAACUUGUAUGGUUAUGUGUUAGUAGAUGAUUACUCUAGGUAUACUUGGACAUUUUUUCUGACUCACAAGAGUGAGGCCUUCUCUAUUUUCAAAAGAUUUGCAAAUUUAGUUCAAAAUGAGAAGAACAAGAAAAUAAUCUCCAUCAAGAGUGAUCAUGGUCGAGAAUUCCAAAAUGAUUCCUUUAAUACCUACUGUGAACAAAAUGGAAUUCACCAUAUAUACUCACCCCUAGAACUCCACAACAAAAUGGAGUUGUAGAAAGGAAGAAUAGGUACUAGCUAGAACUAUGAUUAAAGACUCAAAUCUUCUUAAGUAUUUAUGGGCUGAUGCUAUAAACACAGCCACACAUGUAGUGAACAGAGUUCUAAUAAGGCCAAUACUUAGAAAAACUCCCUAUGAGUUAUACAAGGUAGAAAACCAAAUAUCUCUUACUUUAGGGUCUUUGGAUGCAAGUGCUUUGUAUUAAACAAUGGCAAAGAACAUCUAGACAAGUUUGAUCCUAAGGCAGAUGAGGGUAUUUUUCUAGGUUAUUCCAAAUCUAGUAAGGCAUAUAGAAUCUACAAUAAAAGAACUAAAACUAUAGAUGAAUCUGUUCAUGUAAAAUUUGAUGAAAUGUUUGCUGAAAACUUGAACAACACUCCUCCUAUAGUUGGUGAUUAUUUGGAUGAUAUUGUAGAAUCUGAACCAAUAGAACCUAAUGAACCAGUACCUCCAAACAACAUUGAGUGUAUAGAACCUAUUAGGGAAGUUGACUUACCUAAGGAAUGGAAGUUUAACAAAGACCAUCCUAUUGACAACAUCAUAGGAGAGAUCUCUAAAGGAGUUACAACUAGAAAAACCCUUAGACACUUUUGCAACUUCACAGCCUUUGUAUCUCAAGUAGAACCCAAAAACAUAAAGGAAGCUCUUAUGGACCAUGACUGGAUAGUUGCCAUGCAAGAAGAGCUCAAUCAGUUUGAGAGAAACAAAUUGUGGAUUCUAGUCCCUAAACCAGAAGACAAACAUGUCAUAUGAACUAGAUGGGUGUUUAGAAACAAAAUGGAUGAGAAUAGGGUAAUUACUAGGAAUAAGGCUAGGCUAUUGGAAAAGGGUUACAACCAAGAGGAUGGCAUUGACUAUGAUGAAACCUAUGUCCCUGUAGCUAGACUAGAAGCCAUUAGAAUCCUGCUUGCUUAUGCAUGUAUAAUGGAUUUUAAACUAUAUCAAAUGGAUGUAAAAAGUGCCUUUCUAAAUGGAGACAUCCAAGAGGAAGUCUUUGUUAGUCAACCACCUGGCUUUGAAGAUCCUAUGUUCCCAAACCAUGUGUUCAAACUAACAAAAGUCAUCUAUGGGUUGAAACAAGUUCCAAGAGCUUGGUAUGAAAAGUUAAGCAAUUUCCUCAUACAAGAAAACUUUUUAAGAGGAAAUGUAGAUAAGACACUUUUUAUAAAAACAAAAGGAAAAGACAUUCUAUUGGUCCAAAUUUAUGUUGAUGACAUAAUCUUUGGAUCAACAAACAAUAUGCUUUGCAAAGAAUUUGAAAAUACAAUGAAAGGAAAAUUUGAAAUGUCCAUGAUGGGAGAAUUAACUUACUUCUUGGGAUUUCAAAUCAAGCAAAGCAAGAAUGGCAUUUUCCUAAGUCAAACCAAAUACUGUAAUGAUCUUUUAAAGAAGUUUGAUAAGUUUAAAUCCAUUGAUACACCCAUGAGUCAAGCUUGUCACUUAGAUAGAGAUGAGAAGGGAAAAUCUGUUGAUGUGACAAUGUUUAGAGGCAUGAUAGGAUCUUUACUAUACCUUACAUCUAGUAGACCAGACAUUAUGUUUAGUGUUUGCAUGUGUGCUAGAUAUCAAGUCAAUCCAAAAGAAUCCCAUCCAAGUGCAGUCAAAAGGAUUUUUAGAUAUCUUAUAGGAACCAAAAAUCUAGGUUUGUGGUAUCCUAAGGGAUCUACUUGCACUCUAGUUGGUUAUUCUGAUUCUGAUUUUGUUGGCUGCAAAUUGGACAGAAAAAGUACAUCUGGUACUUGCCAACUAUUAGGGAACUCUAGAGCCGUCAAAAAAGCCCCCAACUACAAUGCCCCCUUACUUUUUUUAUUUUAUUAUUAGGCCCCCUAUCAAAAUAAUCUUUUUAAGGGCCCUUUAAUUUCGGCCCAUUAUUUCAUAGGGCCUAAGGGAGGGGGCUCUAGGGGCCCAUAGGCCCCCAAUAUUUUGUUUAAUUUUAAGAUUUUUUUCUUGAAAAAAAAUUUAUAAAAAAAAAUAAAAAAAUUUUAUUGAAAAAAAAAUCAGAAACUUUUUAUCAAAAAAAAUCGAACAUUUUUUAUCCAAAAAAAGUCGGACAUUUUUUAUCGAAAAAAAUUGGAAAUUUUUUAUCAAAAAAAGUCGGACAUUUUUUAUUGAAAAAAAAUCGGAAAUUUUUUAUCGAAAAAAAGUCAGAAAAUUUUAUCGGAAAAUUUUGUAGAAAAAAAAAAUUAUCGGUGAAAAAAUUGAAAAACUUUAUUUCUAAAAAAGAAAAUUGAUUAUUUUUUUAAAAAAGUGGGCCUAUGGGCCUCCUAAGCCCACAAAUUUUUAGGGGGCCUUGUUUUUGGGGGCCUUUUAAAUUAUUAAUUUUUUUGGUCCCUUCAAAAUGUGGGCUGAGACCAAUAAUUAAGGGGCUUGUCAAAUUGACAGCUCUAGGGAACUCACUUGUAUCUUGGCAUAGCAAGAAACAAAAUAGUGUUGCAUUUUCAACAGCUGAAGCUGAAUAUGUAGCUGCUGGAAGCUGUUGUGCACAAAUUUUAUGGAUGCAACAACACCUUUCUGACUUUGGUGUUGAUCUAGGUAAUGUGCCUAUCAUGUGUGAUAAUACUAGUGCUAUAAAUAUCACUAAGAAUCCUGUCAUGCAUUCUAGAACCAAACAUAUAGAGAUUAUGCAUCACUUUAUUAGGGAUCAAUAUCAACAGGGUAAGAUCAAGCUUGAAUAUGUCAAUACAGCUGAUCAGUUGGCUGAUAUUUUCACCAAAGCCUUACCCAAUGACAGUUUCUUCUUUAUAAGAAUGAAACUUGGUAUUAUAGAUCUCAAUGAAAUCUGAUCCUUAUGACAAAAUCGAUUGAAACAUCGAUUAUCAUGUGACCAGAUAGGAAAACAACAUUACAAAAUCGAUUGUAUAAUCGAUUUAUGAUNNNNNNNNNNNNNNNNNNNNNNNNNNNNNNNNNNNNNNNNNNNNNNNNNNNNNNNNNNNNNNNNNNNNNNNNNNNNNNNNNNNNNNNNNNNNNNNNNNNNNNNNNNNNNNNNNNNNNNNCACUUUAUUAGGGAUCAAUAUCAACAGGGUAAGAUCAAGCUUGAAUAUGUCAAUACAGCUGAUCAGUUGGCUGAUAUUUUCACCAAAGCCUUACCCAAUGACAGUUUCUUCUUUAUAAGAAUGAAACUUGGUAUUAUAGAUCUCAAUGAAAUCUGAUCCUUAUGACAAAAUCGAUUGAAACAUCGAUUAUCAUGUGACCAGAUAGGAAAACAACAUUACAAAAUCGAUUGUAUAAUCGAUUUAUGGUGCACAGUGUUUUAAAUUGUCAAAAUUGAAAACACGAUAAUCGAUUGCAUAAUCGAUUUGUGAUACAUAGUGUCUUAUUUGUCUAUGUCACAAACACUAUACUCGAUUUCAUAAUCGAUUUAGCACAUCUCAGAAGUCAAAUUGUUGGAGUAUACAUCAACUCAAUCGAUUGAGAAAUCGAUGGAAGAUUUGGAAAAUCUUUUAAAGAAUCGAUUUGAUAAUCGAUUGUUUGGUUCUGACAUCCACAUAUUUGAGAAGUUUUCCAACCUCAAGCCCGAGCAUCGAUUGGGAAAUCGAUUGAAUCAGAUUUUUAAAACCUGCACUUAUAUGAAUCGAUUUGGAAAUCGAUGCUGAGAUAAGAAGAUUUCUGAACUUAUAAGGAAAUCGAUUUGGGCAUCGAUUUAUUAAACUAAAAGAUCAAUUACGAAAUCGAUUUACAAGACGACUGUUGGAGAAAAAUUAUAGCCAUCGGAAGUGGUUGUAACAGAUACAUUUCAUUUCACUCAAACAACGGUAACAUAAUCGAUUGGACAAUCGAUUCUGUGAACCCAGAUGUGAAAUAAAAUCGAUUGGGAAAUCGAUUCUGAACAGUUCUAUAUAAAUCCCUAAAUCGAUUUCUCAACCCACUUUCACCAUCAGUUCUUAUUUUCUCACCCAACUUCGAAUUUCUCUGUGUCUUAAUCCUUCUCAAUUAUCUCAAACAUCUUAUAUCUCCAAACUAUACAAUGGCAAGAGUAAAGCAAACUGCACCUCAAUCAUCUUCUUCUAAAUCAUUCUCCCUAGAUUCUUCUUCAACAUCUAGUGGAAGAACACCCUCCCCUCAACCUCCUUCACCACCUGCUAAAAGAGUCUCAAUACCUACUCAUAAGGUAUUAGCUAAAGACAAAGGGGAGGUUGUUGCAAUCACUCAAGAAACUACAAAAAAGAGGAAAGCUCCUCCAUCUGAGAAACUCAUGGGGGAUGCCAUGAAAGGAGCAACCCAGAAAAAGAAGAAGACUGUAUCUUCCCCCCAACCAAAGAAGGUUCAGCCUCCCAAAGGCAAACCAGAUGAAGAAAUUGCUCUCUCUUCUUCUUUCUUAAAAAGGAAAAUCCAAGAGGCUAAAACUCUGGACUUUACCUAUUUUGAUUCAAAUGGGUUUACUUUCCAAAAUCACUUGAGAUUUCAUGGAUUAUUGGAUUUCCUUUCCUGUUCUCUGGAAAUCUACCCAAGGCUGAUUAGAGCCUUCUACUCUACCUUCAAACUCACCAAUACUGGAUUCGAGGCUGAAGUCAAUGGUAAGAAAAUCUCAAUGACUUUUGAACAAUUCUCCAAGCUGUCAGGACUACCAUUCUUUGGAGCAGCUAUUGAUGGAAGAACAAGUCAUGAUUCAACUGAUGACGCUUGGGAAUCAUCAGUGGAUAGGCAUACGACAAUUCAGGACCUGAUGAUGGAAGGUUUUGUUGAGAAAGUAUCCCUUCCAACCGGCCAGAUGAAGGUCCAUCAUCGUAUGCUGAUGUAUGUGCUAACACGAAUCUUAGUACCUCGAUCUGGAAAUCACGCCGUUGUACAGAGGCUGGAUAUUAUCCUGCUUUGGGGCCUGUACAAGGAGCUCAAGAUGAGCUGGGCUUGGAUUGUGUUGAUGAACAUGGUUGAAUCAGCACAAGGCAAGCUGCUGCUUCCCUACCCCCAGUUAAUUACAAAGAUUAUGAGACACAUCAAGAUUUCAUGUGUCAAUGAAGAAUCAAUUAAGACCACUCUAACCUUUGGUGAAUCCAUUGUAAACCAGAUGCAAUUGAAAAGGAUCGAUGGCAUUUGGACAAGGAUACAACCAAGUGUUGAUCAAGCACAACCAAGUGUUGAACCAACUGAGCCAGCUGAAGCACAAUCUGAGCUUUUGGCUAAGCUACUGGAAUUGAUGGAAUCUCAGGCUGCCCAAAAUGCAAGGGUGGAAGCCUCUCUUAAGGAACUCCAAGCUACCUUAAAUUCAGUGGUUCAAGACGUUGCUGCCAUCCAAGAGCACUUGGGUCUCAAAAUGUCUUUUGAAGACAUUGUUGAAAUUGACAGGCAAGCAACUGAAGAACCAAAUCCUACCAAUCUAGAGAGUACUGAACCUCAUGGUGAGGAGACACUUGUUGAGGAUAAUACAUCAGUCUCUACCUCUCUCGUUGGUGAUAAUGAGGAGCAUUCCUAGUUUAGUUGAUUAGGAUUUUGUUUUUCUUUGUUGCUUUGUAAUAUUUCUUAUGAUUCUUUUUGAUUAAUCACUCUCUUGUAUUUCUUUUUGAAUUCAAUGACAAAAGGGGGAGAUUGAUAUCAAAUUUAACUUGUGAUAUUACAUUGGUGAUUGGUAUCAAAUUUAACUUGUGCUAUUGAUCAUGUAAUGCUCUGAUUAUUGCUCUGAUUAUGUGAUAUUGCUUUAACUUGUGAUAUCUGAUACAUAAUGCACACAGUUUCUGAUUUAAUGAAUGCUAAUAGCUUGUGCUUAUGUUGUUGAAAUGAAUCAUAAACUCUAAAAUUCAGGGGGAGAUUCUAAAAUAAUCUCAAGGUUAAAACUGUGUGUUUGUCAUUAAAUCAAAAAGGGGGAGUUUGUAAGUCAUGAGCUUCCCUGAUCAUGUUUUUGAUUUAAUUCUCAAACAUAAAUACAUAUGAAGUACUUGAUUGAUCUAAUGAUUUGAAUUGAGAAACAUUUCAGACAAACAAGCAGACACUAUACACUUGGAACAAAAGCUUGGAACUCAAGGAAUCAACCAAAAUUGGAGGAUUUGCUUGAGAUGCAAAUAUGUAUAGUGUGAUUAUUGUCAUAGUAGUUAUUUUAGUAGACUAAUAAUUAUGGUUUCAUACUUAAGUUUUUUCCAAAGAAAGUAAAUCAAUCAACUGAUAAGUCAAUUGAUGAAUCAAUUGGCCAAUCGAUUGUCUGACUCAGAACAAAAGUUUUUACUAAGUAAAUCGAUUGGGAAAUCGAUUACUUAAAGUCUUUCAGUGAGAUCUGAGUUAUGGGCUUAAUCCAAUCAAUUGGACAAUCGAUUGGGACAUCAAUUGAGUAAUCGAUUUUGUGAUUCACAGAACCAACCACUUACUGAAUCAAUCGAUUGGCAAAUCGACUGUGAAAAUGUUUUUCAUCAGAAGUGAGUUCUGUGAUCAACCAAAUCGAUUAGACAAUCAAUUGAAUUAUGUUUCUUAAAUUGCAAGUUUUGUGGCAAUCAAUUAGGUAAUCGAUUGAAGUUAAUCAUUUAUCAGAAACACAUUGAAUAAUCGAUUGGCACAUUGAUUUUGACCAAAUGGCCGAGGUUCUGUAACAAGCACAAUCGAUUGGCAAAUCGAUUGAAGUAAAUGUUUGAGUCACUGUGACCAGCACAAUCGGUUGACGAAUCGAUUGAAGCUAAAUGUUUGAGUUCCAGGAAGAAUUUCGCUCAUUGCCAAAUCGAUUAUGACUGUGAUUAUGAGUCGACUGAGCAAUCGAUUGUUUUGAUCUCGUUGUUUGAACAAAACACCUAUAAUCGAUUACUCAAUCGAUUUUGAUAUAAUCAUAGUAUCAUUUUCUGAUUUAUGUAUUAAAAGAAUCGAUUGGAAAAUCGAUUCAUGCUUAUAUUUUCAAGAUUCAAGAAAAACAAGACACACGAAAAUCGAUUGGGCAAUCGAUUAAGCUGAUUUUAAACUUUUAUAAAAUCAAUUGAGCAAUCGAUUGUCCUGAUGUUUUUCUGAAUAUAUAUAAGUUGAUUCAAUCACUUUAUAAAAAACAAUACACAACACUUUAAAAAAAUUUUUUCAUUACACGUUUUCACAAUAGAGAAACCAGGAAAAACACUUUGAAAGAAAUAAUUGUUACCACACACAAAAUACUCAUUUGGCAAAUUCUUUUGUGUGAAAUUCAUAUUGUGAUUGAGUCGUCAUCAUUUUGUCCGCUUUUAUCUUUUCUGUAAAAACAAUCUGUAAAGAAAGUUCUGGAAAUCCAGUAGUGUAAACUAGUGACUAUCUUAGUUGGUGUGUGUGAUCAUCAAGAAGAAGUCUCAUCUUGAUCUUGUGAGAGUUUGGCGAGUAACUCCAGGGAUAAGGUGGUAUUGUAAUAGAAGCGAGUGAGUUGGAUAGAUAGGCCAUGUGUGAGCUGGACAAUCUGUAAAACGUACUCAAGUCAAUUCUAUUGGAAAGGCUGAAAUCUGGUUUAGAUUUCAGGACUGGAUGUAGGCUAUCAAAUAGAUAGCCAAACCAGUAUAAAUCCUGGUGCAUGAUUUUCUUAUCCUUUCUCUUUAUUUUGAUAUUGCUUGAAUGCUUAUUCUUGAAUGUUUGUAUCAGUGAAUUUCUGUCUUGAUUAUUAUUCUGAAUAAGCAUUGUAUUUGUACUCAUAUAUUGAUAAUACUUGCAAUUGUGAAUCUUUGUUCCUAAAUAAAUUCCGCAACCGAUCAUUGUUAAUUUGAUUAAUAAUCUUGUAAAUAUAGUAGAGACUAUUCUCAUAUAUUUUUUAACAAAUAGAUGCCAUAAUUUCCUACAGCAUUUACAUAAUGAUUAAUGUGAAAAAGUCAAAGUAUGCUCAUGCAUUUCAUAGUUAGUGGUGACUGUGAUGGACCAUAGGGUGGUUCUGUGAGUUGAUUGAUCCACCUUAUCUUUACAAGGAUUUUGGAGUCUUGUAGGUUUAUGAUAUAUCGCACGCUGGUAAAUCGUGUUGAUAUUUGUGAUAGUGGCACCUUGAUAAUUAGUAUUAAUCUGUGAGAGACAAUAUACUUAUGAUUAAUGCGUCUCAAGGAGGGUGUGAAAAUUAUGGAAUCAUGUGCAUUGUCAUAUAAGCAUUGAAUUAUGGUGUUUUGUCACAUGCCAAUAUAUGUGUUCAUGCUUUGCGUUUUUGUAUAUAUGUUGACCUUAUACUAUUAUUGUGGAUCGAGCUUAUGCCUCAGAUUCUUAGAGUUUUGAGUCGUACGAGAACUGCAAUGACGUCAAAACGUGAUAAAACGAUGAUUUGGAUUGGCGAUCAUAACAAUUACAUUUGAUUUCACUCGUGGGUUCUUAGUACUCAAUAAUCAUCAGUUAGAGUUCAAUACCAGCUUAUCGUUUUAUUUAAGGAUUUUAUUUAUUCUCUCUUCCUUAUUGCAGUGUUGUUGUCGCAAUGAAAUUUAUAUAUAUGAAGUUAUUGUGAUUUUUUUUUGUCAAUGUGAAUUGUUCGAUUGUAAAUGAGUUUGUUGUGUCGAAAUCAUUUUAUAUAAUACAACAAUGAUUCUAAUUGUCAUUUUUUAGAAGAAAAAAAUUACAAUUAAGUAUUUUAUUAUGAUUUAAAUUAAAGGACAAUUAUAAAUAUUUUAUCCAAAAGCAUUUAGUUGUUUUUUUUUUCUAAGAAUUACACUCUUGUUAAAAAACGAGGUAUUACAUGAACCCUAACUUUGAUGAAGAAGAUGAAGACCACCGUGAAUCUGCAACAAUGGUGAAUGAGGAAAACCUAAUUUUGUUCUCUCAUGGUCCUUUUUAUAUUGUUGAAUGAGUUAUACCACAUAGAAGUCGGCGUUUCAUAAUUAAAACGGAUAGAAAAUGAAUAUAUUGACUAACGGAGACCUAGUUACGAGACCAAAACGGAAUGAAAAUUAAUUAAGAGACCAAAAUGAAACUAAUAAAUAAGUUAGAGGACUAAAAGACGAAUUUAACACAUUUUUAUAUAGAUGAGAGGUAUGUGUAAGGAAUACAAAGAAAUGUAGCAAAAAAAUGUCGUAGAAAUCAAGAAAUAUUAUUCUUUCUCUUUGAUAAUAAAUGUCAUAUUUAUUAAUUAAUUUAUUCAUAUUAAAAUAUAAUUAUAAAAAAAUAAUUUUAUCAAUUUAUUCAUUCACGUGUUUUUCACUAUCAUAAAUAUAAAAUAAAAUAUAAUACUUAAAAAUAAUAUUCAUAAUGUUAAUUAAAUGUACAAUUAAAAAAUAAAUUAUAUUGAAAAUUAAAAAUAACAUAUAUUUUAAAAUAACAUUAUUUUAUUAAAAUAACCAUCAUGUUAUUUAUUUUUGUUUGACAAUUUACUCCUUCUAUCUCACAAUGAAUGUAAUUCUAAUAAAAACAAUUGCUUUAAAAUAAAUAUUAUUUUAAAUUUUAAAUUUUUAAUAUAAUUUUAAUUUUGUUUAUAUUACUGUUCAAUAAUUACUAUGUACAUAGUUUAUAAAAUAUUAUUGAAUUUUAAAUUAAUAAUAACAAAAAUUAACUAAUUGUUAAAAUAAGUAGUUUAAUAAAAUUAACUUUUGUCUUUGUAAUUUUUAUUAUUAUAUUUUUUAAUAUAUAUACAAAAACUUUAAAGGAGAUUUAUUGUAAAUGGUAAGACUGAUGGUACCAAGAGGCAUCUCAAGGGAACACCCACAAUCUUCAUGCCUCUUGGUACCAUCAGUCUUACAGGUAUUUUUAAAUUUUAUUUGUUUGUUUUAGAAAAUAUUAUUUACUAGUUUAUGUGAUUUAUUUUAAUUUGUAUUAUUUAAUUUAUUUGUAGAGUUGAGUCUGCUCAUUGGAGAUUGAAAAACAUGCUGCAAACUAGUUUUGGUGAUUUGUGUAAAAGUUGGGAUGUUGUGAAUAUGAUGUUGAAGAACCAAAUAUGUAUCAUUCAGUCUUCUUUUCAGAAAACCAUCAAGGAUGUUGAGCACGGGUAUAAUUCAUAAUUCUUUCAAAGUCUGCAUCAUUGUGUAUCAAGGAAAUGUUUAAAAAAAAUUGACAAACAGUUGCAGAGAGUGAAGAUUGUAGGUACUGACAAAACAAUAUGUGGUUGCUCAAUCAGAACAACUCAUGGAUUACCAUGUGCUUGUGAGUUGGCAAAGUUGCAGAUAUUUGAUAAUGUUAUCCCUUUAGAUAGCAUUCAUGUUUUUUGGAGAAAGUUAAGCCUUGAGAAUGAAUUGGAGGAUGAAGAAUCUUUAUCAGAUUAUGACUUUUUAGAAGAGUUAGAAGCAAUGAAAGUGUACAUGAAGAAACACGAUAUUGUAAGUCAAAGGAUAUUCAGGGCUAAGGUGUGUGAAGUUGUAUUUCCACAUACAACAUCAAUACUUGCAGCACCAGAGAAGGUUCGAACCAAGGGAGCAAGCAAAAAGAAAAAAUAAUUUGAUACUCCUCGUGAUCCUUCAUAUUGGGAGUAUGUUGAUGCCUCUCAAGAAUCUGCAAAGCAACCAUCUCAACGUUUUGCAAGGCAACCAUCUCAUUCAUCACAGUAUUCUGCAAAACAACCAUUUUACACACAUUUUUCUACUCUUAUACAUCCGUAUAUUGAGGAGAUAAUAGAUGUGGUGGUUGAUGGAAAUUGUGGGUUUCGCGCAAUUGCAGCAUUGUUAGGAUGAACUGAAGAAUUUUGGCCUUUAGUUCGAACACAAUUGGAUAAAUAGAUUCUUCUACAUCAAGACCUUUAUGCCAAUGUGUUCGAUGACAGUGUUGAAUCAGUGCGAAACUCAUUGAAAAUAUCAGGAUUGGGUGCUCAAGGACAAGAUAAGUGGAUGUGUUUACCAGACUUGGGUUACAUGAUAGCAACAAUAUAUAAUGUCAUAUUGGUGUCGUUGUCUCGUAAUCUGAAAUGAAUAUUAUAAUUUAAUAUAUUGUAUUUCAUUACGUUUUAUCAUUUACGUUUCAAAAUAUAAAAACACAUUGGAUAACACAUUCGAUAAUCUCAAAAUAAUCGAUUAAAUAUUCAGGCAUACAUAGCACAAUAACUAAUCGUCAUACAAGCGACAUAAUUCACUUAAUAUGUCAUGAAUCUCACUAAAUGGUGUUACCAUAUCUAAGGCCCUAUGUGCAAGCUCAGCUGCUCUACGGUCUCUACCAGUAUGUGCAGAAGAUGAUGGACCAGCAUGUGCAACAACAGUAGUAUGUAGACUCGAAGGUGCAACAGUGGAUGGAGGGAGAAUCAGAGGAUGUGAAACACUAACGUGCCAUGCAUAGUAGUCUGCAGUGACCUCUUCAAGAAAAGUCGCAACAGGAUAUAUUCUCCGAAAGGUCUCUACAGAUGAUCUCAUAGUAUUCUGCCAUACCGAAUCUAUACUAUUCGGCAUCGGAGGAACGUCACGCAGAAUGCAUUGAAUACGACCAAACUGUCGAAGACAUCGCUCUGGCAAAUAUGGGACUGAGACUCCACCACAUCGAAGAUAUCCAAAAAACAUCGAAAUCGAUACAAACGGAUGAUUAGCUCGAUCAUCAUCAUAUGGUGUAAACACUACAUCCUCGAGCAACAACACAUCAAGUCUCCGACGAUAUGCUAACAAUCCACCUUCAACAACAUGUUUUGCAGUCCACCUAGAUGCUCUUGGAAGAUGCGCAGGAACCGCUCCUCUAUCACCUCGCUUACAGAUUCUAGGGAAGUGCUCGUAAAUCCAACACUGCAACAUAAUUAACAUAAUAAAAUAACACAAUGUAAUAAUUAAAUUAAUAAUUAAAUAAAUAAAUGACACAACUUAAUAUAAAUGAUAUACCUGUAGUAGGGUCAUGUAACCUUCCACAUGUCGAGUGUCGUGGACAGCUCCAUCUCCCAGGUUGUCAUAAAGGAAAACCAAUGUUGCGGAAGCCCACGAGUAGUCCCGACAACGAUGUAAAUCAAUAAAAAGAGUAAUGUAUUUUGCCUCAACACGCGUAUGUGUUUUAUCAGCGAAAAUAGUGCAGCCAACUAAAUACAACAGAUACGUUCUAGCCGCACACUCAAACUGGUUAGUUUGAAUGAGACGACUAUAUAAAUCACGCAACCAUUGCAAUCUAUAUGAGCACACUUGUUAUAACUAAUCUCAAUACAUGCUUCCUCCCAUGUUGCACCUAAGUACUCAUGUGCAGCUCUUGCAGCAUUAUUAGUAUUCAUAUUCAAAGGUGCAUCAAAAAUUUUACCAUGUGGUGAGAUGUGAAGGAGAGUCGCAACGUCGUCUAAAGUGAUAGUCAUCUCUCCAAAUGGCAGAUGAAAUGAGCUGGUCUCUCUGUGCCAUUUUCAACAAAUGCGGAUAUCAGACCAGCAUUAGCCAUAGUGAGGUAACCUGAAUAUAGAUGCAUCAGCCCAGAUUCUUGAAUCCAAUGCUCUACAGGAGCUGGUAUAGGAACUUCGGCAAACUUCUUCAGUUUCAAUCCGUGAGAAAUAACUUUUAAUGAUCCACGAUCCUGUGAAUAAUAAACAUAAAUAAACAAUUAAUUAAACAUAUAUAUAAUAAACUUAAAAAUAAAUAUAAUUAAACAUUUAUAUAAAUAUACAAUUAAUUAAAUUAACAUAAACUUAAACAUUAAUAUAAUUAAACAUAUAUAUAAAUAUACAAUUAAUUUAAUAAACUUAAACAUAAAUAAACAAAUAAUUAAACAUAUAUAUAAAUAUACAAUUAAUUAAUUAAACUUAAAAAUAAAUAUAAUUAAACAUUUAUAUUAAUAUAUAAUUAAUUAAUUAAAGUUAAACAUAAAUAUAAAUAUACAAUUAAUUAAAUAAACUUAAACAUAAAUAAACAAAUAAUUAAAUAUAAAAAUAAAUUAACAUAUAUAUAUCCUUCCCAUAGCCUCCAAGCCACGUGAUGCUCAUAUUCUGUCAACACACAUGUCACCGUCGAUCCUCUGGGAAAUCUGGUCUGCUGAUCCUGAUCAUCAAUAUCAACAACAUCAUCCGACUCAUCAACAUCAUCAGAAGUAUCAUGAAUAUCGUCAGCGGCCUGCUCCAUCUGUGGAGGCUGAGGGACAUACUCCUCCAUAUGUGCAUGCUCAGUGGACUCAACAUCAUCAUCUUGGACCUCCUCUUGUCUUCGACGACGCUGCCUAAUUGGACGAUUUGCUUUGUUACGUCGUCUGUUUGAUGCUGUUGGUGGAAUUCUCUCUACACCAUUAUCUCUGUCACCUAUGAAAUUGCGAAUAAUUUGGCCAAACGCACCUCUCAUUCUAGGCACUGCAAUAUAUAAAAAACCCAAAAAACCAUUUUGAAACUUUCAUUGGAUAUGAAACUUUCGAAACUUGUUUUUCGCAACUUUCAGAAUGUUCGAAGAUUUUAUGUUUCGGAACUUUCGUAUUGUUCAAAACUUUCGCAAGUUUGCACUUCGAAACUUUCAAGUUUAACGAAACUUUCGAAAGUUUUGUACUUCGAAAGUUUAAAGUUUAACGAAAGUUUCAAAUGUUUGAAAAUUUCUGAAAAAAAUAUGUUUCGAGACUUUCAUAUUCAACGAAAGUUUUGAAAUUUGUCUUACUUUUUCACUUCGGAUGUUUGAAAAAUUCGAACUUUUGGUAGGGUGGGAGGAUCGAAUAUUUCAGAGUUUCGAAGAAAUGUGUGAAAAAAGGAAAGUGUGUUUUUUUUAGGUUUUUAUAGAUGAAAUAAGGGGCAUUAUUGUCUUUUCCUUAUGGUUGGGGGGUGGGAGGUAAAAGAGAGGGGUACACAGUACAAUUCUCUAUUCCCUUUUUUGUUUUUUUGUUUUUGUUAUGUGGGUGGCAUUUUUGGUUGUUGGUCUUAUGUGGUGGCUCCUUUUUCUUCAAAGUUGGCUUUUGUACUCCACAAUUAAUCUCAUACCUUCUCAAAUUGUUAAAAAUCUAAAAUUGUUUUUAAAAUUUUCAUUUACUGAAUAGUAAAAAAAAUUACUUUAAAAAUUCAUCCCCUCAACAAAAUUUUCGGUACUUAAAUUUUUUCCAUUAAAAUCCGAUAAACAAAUAUUCACUACCGGAAAUUUCGUAUUUCAAAUUUCAGUUAGUAUACCGGAAAUUUCACCAAUAAAUUUUUGGCAAAGUAUUUAUAAUACCAGAAAUUUGGGCAAUGAAAUUUCCGGUAAUUACAUUUUCCUUAUCGGAAAUUUCAAAUUUUUGAAAUAUCUGGUAGUUACAUUUAUCUUAUCGGAUUAAUAAAAUAAAAUAUAUUAAAAAAAUACAUCAAAUAGUUGACUAAAUGUGCCAAAAUAAAUAACGUGUCCCUAAUAUUUUGCCGAUAAAAUAACAACAUAUUUUCUUAACAUCUCUCUUCUAUUUUUCCUGCGAAUAUUUUAUAAAAUAAAAACUUGUUUUCUUAAAAACUCCCUCCUAUUUUUAUUCCAAUCUAAUAAGUAAAUAAAAUUAAAUAAUAAUAAUAAUAAAAUAGUGUUAAUGUAAUUCAAAAAUAAUAAUAAAAAUAUUUAAAAAAUAUAAAAUUUUAAUAAUAUAAUUUAAUUUAUUCUUUAAUUUAUUAAUAAUAUUUUGUUUUUUAAAAUAUUACAUUUAUUUUUUGUUUUAUUAAAUAAACAAUUUUGUAAUUGUAAAAAAUGAGAUGAAACAAAAUUUAGAAGUUUAAUACAUGGUCGCAUACUUGGGAAAUUUCAAAUUUCCGGUAGUUAUAAAUCAAUAUUGGAAAUUUCAUUAUUGAAAUUUUCGGUAUUGAAAACCAAUACAAGAUAUUUCAAAUUUCCGGGUGGUACUCCCAGAAAUUUCAAAAAUAAAAUUUCCAGUGUUGAUUUAUAACUAUCGAAAAUUUCAUUAAUUUUGAAAUUUCAAGUAAAAAAAAAUUCAACAGCACUCACUUUUCCGAAAAACACAACUUGUAAGGGUAUGAAGAAACUGUUUGAUUUUUACAGUUUUAUUAAGAAUAUUUUGGAUAUUUCAAACAUAAAUUUUUUAAAUGAAGGAGUAUAGAGUUAAUUGAAGGGGGUACAAAAAGCAUUUUUUCCUUUUUUUUUUCUUAUGUGGGUGGCUCCAUUUUUUGUUGGUCUCAUGUGGGUGGCCUCCCUGUUUUUUUUUUGGUUUUAUGUGGGUGGCCCUUUUUGAAUAGAAAAAAUAACAAAAGGUUCUUUUGAAUUAUAGUGAAGAUGGCAUAACAAUCAACAACGUAAUCAUUGUUACUAUAAGAAAAAUAUUUAGGAACAUUUAUUUAAGUGUUUUCCGCAUGUUUGUUAAUCUAAAAUAUCAUUUUUGUGAUUAUAAUAAUUUUUAAGAAACUUAUAGAAUUAAAAAUAUUGUAAUCAAUUAAGGUAAGAACUAUAAGAAAACACACUUUAAUAUAUCAAACACUUAUGUAACCAUAAUUUAAAUACACUUAUUUUUACUUAUAUAUUUUUCAAGGAUUUUUGUACUUGAAAACAUGUACAACAUUUUUAAAGAACUAACAACACAUGGCAAUAUACUUUAUUUCUUGGUGUAAUUACUUGAAUAAAAAUAGAUCAUUAUUUAGGAUCUAUUAGUCAAACCCUCAGUUAGUUAUUUCACUCGACAAUAGUCUGUAGGAUUAAUUUUUAGUAUAUUACAUGUAUUGAUUUUCUAUAAUUUGCAAUAUUUUGUUUAAGUAAUUUAAUUAUGUAAUUAUGCAUCUGUGAAAAAUUAAUUUAGUGGAACUAAUUCAAACGGCAUUUAAUGUGAAAAUAACUAAAAUUAAAUAUUAAUUAAGAAUUAUUAAAUAAAGUAAAUGAUAAAAGUUAUUCUUAAAAUAAGUUGAUCUCCAUCUUAUAUACGCGUGUCUGUAUAUAUAUAUAUAUAUAUAUAUAUAUAUUUAUAUUUUUUAUGUAACUAUAAACAGAACACUUAUAGCAUAUGUGAUAUGUCUGUUAUCACUAUCUAUAAAUAGAAAUCUAAAAUAUUGCAAACCCAAAAAGAGAAUCGAUGGUUGUAUACGCAAUUGGAGCAAUUGUGAUUUUCUUUGUCCUCAUCCAUUCACCAAAUAACAACCGCCACCACCACCGCCUCUUGCUCCACCGUGAUGAAAACCAAGAAUCGAACACUAACCAUUCACACACAUCUGAAGAGUGGGAUGAAAACUUAAAUGUAACUGACACGAUUGUCCGUAUAUUCCCUGACAUCGAUGUGGACCCCACAGAUCAGUAUGUGGACCUCCACGAGUUAACUGAAUGGAACUUCGAGCAAGUUCAAAGAGAAGUAUUGCAUCGAAGUCAGAGAGAAAUGAACAUUCACGACAAGAACCACGACGGUUAUCUUUCCUUCUCCGAAUACGGUCCUCCAGCGCCAGGUCCUCCUCUUUCAACUUUCACUCUACUUUUUUUCUUUCACCAUUUUUUUUUUUUGUAAAUCAGCUUUUUGGUUGAAUCUAAGUUGAGUAUGCGUUAUGAACUUCUCACCGUUAACUUUAACUGUUUUUAAAUCGAUUCUGUGGUGUUACCGGCGAAAAAACCCAAACACAUUUUAUUGUUACAAGAAAUCUGUAACAAUAGAUCCAGUAUCCACUCACCGGAAGCGCCACAAACCUCCGCGCCGGAGUUUCACUUCCUUCAUUUCACGCCGCCGUGAGAAAACUUUUUUGCCGCCGGCGAAUCUUCCUCCUCAAGUUCAGCAGUAACCGGAGAUCACACCACCAUACGCGAAACCUCGCUGUGGAGUUUUGAAUUGCGUUUCAGAAAUCUUAGUAUUUUCCUUCGUAAAUACGAAUGUUUUAAGCUUCCGUGGAUGAAACGGCCGCAACCGUUGACAAGGGGUUUUAGGUUUUUAUUUUAUUUUAUUUGUUGGGGUAAGUUUCACAAUUUUCGAUUUUUCAAAUUACUUUCUUUUUGAAUAAUAAAUUUGAAGAUUUUAUUUUUAUCUAAAAAAGGAAUUUUAUGAGUUAUUCUUUUACGAUAUGUAGUAUACCAAUCCCCACCUUCAUAGUGACCUUUAUAAAUUUGCAAUUUUGUUUCGAUAGUUACAGUUUAAUUUCAAAUCAUCGGUGUAGGUUAAUUAAAGAUGAUUUGGUGAAGUUGUAAUGUGAUCCAACCGAUCUUAGAUUGAUGGCCAAGAUUAAUCGCAUUUUUGUUUCUUGUGAACCUUUAUUCCUGUGUAUUGAAUUGAAUGCUGUAAAUNNNNNNNNNNNNNNNNNNNNNNNNNNNNNNNNNNNNNNNNNNNNNNNNNNNNNNNNNNNNNNNNNNNNNNNNNNNNNNNNNNNNNNNNNNNNNNNNNNNNNNNNNNNNNNNNNNNNNNNNNNNNNNNNNNNNNNNNNNNNNNNNNNNNNNNNNNNNNNNNNNNNNNNNNNNNNNNNNNNNNNNNNNNNNNNNNNNNNNNNNNNCAGGAAUGCUUCAUAUUGGGCAUGUUUCUUUCAGAAUAACAUCUGUUUGUUUGGAAACCAAAAUUGGGGGAUGCCUCCAAGAAAUAUAAAUGAAUAAUUUUUUUUUUACUUCUGUACAUAGAUGGUAAUUGUUUAUAGAACUAUAUGAGGUUCUUUUUACUUACAUCCACAUGAUAUUAGACACUAGUGUUUAAUACAGGAGUAUCUAAGUGAAAGUUUGAUAUAAAGUUUCAAUUGAAUGAUGCAACUGCUCAUUUAUGGAAGUUGGUAAAGCUUUCUACUUAGGCAUCUUAGAUUCACACAAAAUACUUGCCAUCUGUGGGAUUGUUUGUUUGGCCCAUACCUUGAAUGACAAAUUAUGUAACCGAGUACCAAAAACAAGCAUCUAGCUUAUUUAGCUUAGCAGGGAAUCCUAAACAUCUGAAUGAAGUGUUGCUGAAUAUGUUACUGUUUUUUGGUCUUUCAUUGCCAUCCUUUUUUCCCUAACCUAUUAGUAGCCUAAUAUAUCCUGAUUAAUGUUCAAGGUCAUCUUUAACCUCAAUAUAAUUGCAACUUGUCCUCUGAAGACUAGAUUUCUUGUGGUUGUCUAAAUAAGUGAAGCCUAUCAGGACUGAAGUUGAAUGUUUCAAAUUUUCAAUCCUCUGUUGGGCAAUCCCAGCUGAUUGUUUGUAAAGGAUGUAAAUGCAUGAUUGGUUUGCUUUUGAAAAUGAAUUUUGCUUUGCAAUCACUUGCCUGCUCUAGAAGAAGUCACUAUAUUGGACUAACUUUUUUAGAGACUUUGCUCAAUAUUAGAAAUGCAGACAAUAUUUGUGGUUGAUUUUAUUUUUCUGAAAGGGAUAGGAAAUCUUCACUUCAUAUGCAAUUAGCUUAUUUGUAUAUAUUGCCUUAUUGUAUCCUUUUAUUUCCUUAUAGGGAAAGUGAUACGGACAGAGAUGGGAAGGUCAGUUUUAAAGAAUUCUUUUAUGGCCUCUUUGAUUCGGUAAGAUACUAUGAUGAGGAGAGUUACAAUGAUCUACAUCAAUCUGAUGAUUCAACGGAUGCUUCAGCCAGAGCUUUGUUUUCUCAGCUUGACAAAGAUCACGACGGGUAUUCACCAUUUUUUUUUUUUUCUUCCUUUUCCCACAAUUAUUCUAUUUGAUUGGAAUCAAUAUUGUAGUUUCCUUAUAGUAUACUAUAAUUUACUUUUGGGUUUUCAUUUUGAAUCUGUGCAGGUCUUUGUCAGAUAUUGAACUACUGCCUAUAAUUGGGAAAUUGCAUCCAUCUGGGCAUUACUUUGCUGAAUAUUAGAAAUGCAGACAAUAUUUGUGGUUGAUCUUAUUUUUGUGAAAGGGAUAGGAAAUCUUCACUUUAUAUGGAAUUAGCUUAUUUGUAUAUAUUGCCUUAUUGUAUCCUUUUAUUUCCUUAUAGGGAAAGUGAUACGGACAGAGAUGGGAAGGUCAGUUUUAAAGAAUUCUUUUAUGGCCUUUUUGAUUCGGUAAGAUACUAUGAUGCGGAGAGUUACAAUGAUCUACAUCAAUCUGAUGACUCAACGGAUGCUUCAGCCAGAGCUUUGUUUUCUCAGCUUGACAAAGAUCGCGAUGGGUAUUCACCAUCUUUUGUUAUUCUUUUUCUUUUCCCACAAUUAUUCUACUUGAUUGGAAUCAAUAUUGUAGUUUCCUUAUAGUAUACUAUAAUUUACUUUUGGGUUUUCAUUUUGAAUCUGUGCAGGUCUUUGUCAGAUAUUGAACUACUGCCUAUAAUUGGGAAAUUGCAUCCAUCUGGGCAUUAUUAUGCAAAGAAACAAGCAGAAUAUUUAAUUUCAUUGGUAUAGAAUUUGAACAUUACAAUUAACACUCUAAUUGUUGACAAAGGUGUCACAUUGCAAUUCAUAAUUUGCAAAGUUGAUGGCUAAAAUAGCUCAACAGGCACUGCAACAUCUGUUGGAUAACAAUAACAUCAUACAUUAGUUUCCUUAUUAACCUUUCUUUCUAUAAUGUUAUGGCAGGCGGAAGUUGACAAAGAUGGGCGCCUUAAUUUGACUGAGAUGAUUGAGAAUGCAUAUAUAUUUUAUGAUGCUAUUUUCUACGAUGAUGAAGUUGAAUAUGAUGAUUCCCCUGACGAGUUCUUUUAAGUUUAUG
rnacentral:lncRNA from 1 species